ACGCUUGGGAUCCUGGCUGGUACGAGGCCUCCCACACUGUCAAAUGUCAACUCCACCAGCACUGAGACAAUGAGUAGAUGAGAAUGUAGAAAGAGGGAAGGAGAGAAGGGAAGGAGGGAAGAGAAAGAAGGAAGAAAAGGAAAGCAUGGCCCGGCUAGAGACAAAGCCAGAGGUGAUCAGGUCAGCAGCAGGAGAGGCUC
rnacentral:lncRNA from 1 species